AUUGAACGCUGGCGGCAGGCCUAACACAUGCAAGUCGAACGGCAGCACAGAAGAGCUUGCUCUUUGGGUGGCGAGUGGCGGACGGGUGAGUAAUGUCUGGGAAACCGCCCGAUGGAGGGGGAUAACUACUGGAAACGGUAGCUAAUACCGCAUAACGUCGCAAGACCAAAGUGGGGGACCUUCGGGCCUCACACCAUCGGAUGUGCCCAGAUGGGAUUAGCUAGUAGGUGGGGUAAUGGCUCACCUAGGCGACGAUCCCUAGCUGGUCUGAGAGGAUGACCAGCCACGCUGGAACUGAGACACGGUCCAGACUCCUACGGGAGGCAGCAGUGGGGAAUAUUGCACAAUGGGCGCAAGCCUGAUGCAGCCAUGCCGCGUGUAUGAAGAAGGCCUUCGGGUUGUAAAGUACUUUCAGCGGGGAGGAAGGCGGUGAGGUUAAUAACCUUGCCGAUUGACGUUACCCGCAGAAGAAGCACCGGCUAACUCCGUGCCAGCAGCCGCCGUAA
rnacentral:rRNA from 1 species